GGGAUUAGAUACCCCACUAUGCUUAGCCUUAAACCUAGAUGAAAACCUUACAAACUCAUCCGCCAGGGUACUACGAGCGCUAGCUUAAAACCCAAAGGACUUGACGGUAUCUCAGACCCACCCAGAGGAGCCUGUUCUAAAACCGAUAAUCCCCGUUAAACCUCACCACCCCUUGUUUUCUCAGCCUAUAUACCGCCGUCGCAAGCUUACCCUGUGAAGGUCUAAUAGUAAGCAUAAUGGUAGCCCACCAAAACGUCAGGUCGAGGUGUAGCUCACGAGGUGGGAAGAAAUGGGCUACAUUUUCUAUAUCAGAUUAUACGAAUAACGCUAUGAAACUAGCAAUUGAAGGUGGAUUUAGUAGUAAAAAACAAAUAGAGAGUCUUUUUGAACCAGGCUCUGAGAUGCGUACACACCGCCC
rnacentral:rRNA from 1 species